rnacentral:ribozyme from 1 species
AGAUUGCAAGUUUGAGCCCUUAGCAGAAGCAUUCAUGGUACAGCCAUGUCAGAUUCCAACAAAUCUGCAAAUUCUGCU